UACGUAGGGGGCAAGCGUUGUCCGGAUUCAUUGGGCGUAAAGGGCGCGUAGGCGGCCUUCUAAGUCGAACGUGAAAUCCCCGGGCUCAACCCGGGAACUGCGUCCGAUACUGGAAGGCUUGAAUCCGGGAGAGGGAUGCGGAAUUCCAGGUGUAGCGGUGAAAUGCGUAGAUAUCUGGAGGAACACCGGUGGCGAAGGCGGCAUCCUGGACCGGCAUUGACGCUGAGGCGCGAAAGCCAGGGGAGCAAACGGG
rnacentral:rRNA from 1 species